rnacentral:rRNA from 1 species
AGGACGAACGCUGGCGGCGUGCUUAACACAUGCAAGUCGAGCGGAAAGGCCCUUCGGGGUACUCGAGCGGCGAACGGGUGAGUAACACGUGAGCAACCUGCCCUUGGCUCCGGGAUAGCUCCGGGAAACCGGAAUUAAUACCGGAUAUGACCUAGGCCGACAUCGGCUGUGGUGGAAAGUUUUUCGGCUGGGGAUGGACUCGCGGCCUAUCAGCUUGUUGGUGGGGUAAUGGCCUACCAAGGCGACGACGGGUAGCCGGCCUGAGAGGGCGGCCGGCCACACUGGGACUGAGACACGGCCCAGACUCCUACGGGAGGCAGCAGUGGGAAUCUUGCGCAAUGGGCGAAAGCCUGACGCAGCGACGCCGCGUGGGGGAUGAAGGCCUUCGGGUUGUAAACCCCUUUCAGCAGGGACGAAGCGAAAGUGACGGUACCUGCAGAAGAAGCGCCGGCUAACUACGCGCCAGCAGCCGC